rnacentral:rRNA from 1 species
UACGUAGGGUCCGAGCGUUGUCCGGAAUUACUGGGCGUAAAGAGCUCGUAGGUGGUUUGUCGCGUUGUUCGUGAAAACUCACAGCUUAACUGUGGGCGUGCGGGCGAUACGGGCAGACUGGAGUACUGCAGGGGAGACUGGAAUUCCUGGUGUGGCGGUGGAAUGCGCAGAUAUCAGGAGGAACACCGGUGGCGAAGGCGGGUCUCUGGGCAGUAACUGACGCUGAGGAGCGAAAGCGUGGGGAGCAAACAGG